rnacentral:rRNA from 1 species
GAGUUUGAUCCUGGCUCAGGAUGAACGCUAGCGGCAGGCUUAAUACAUGCAAGUCGUGGGGCAGCGCAGGUAGCAAUACUGGGCGGCGACCGGCAAACGGGUGCGGAACACGUACACAACCUUCCGAGAAGUGGGGAAUAGCCCAGAGAAAUUUGGAUUAAUACCCCGUAACAUAACGAUGUGGCAUCACAUUGUUAUUAUAGCUUCGGCGCUUCUUGAUGGGUGUGCGGCUGAUUAGAUAGUUGGCGGGGUAACGGCCCACCAAGUCUACGAUCAGUAGCUGAUGUGAGAGCAUGAUCAGCCACACGGGCACUGAGACACGGGCCCGACUCCUACGGGAGGCAGCAGUAAGGAAUAUUGGUCAAUGGACGCAAGUCUGAACCAGCCAUGCCGCGUGAAGGAUUAAGGUCCUCUGGAUUGUAAACUUCUUUUAUCUGGGACGAAAAAAGGCGAUUCUUCGUCACUUGACGGUACCAGAUGAAUAAGCACCGGCUAACUCCGUGCCAGCAGCCGCGGUAAUACGGAGGGUGCAGCGUUAUCCGGAUUCACUGGGUUUAAGGGUGCGUAGCGGGCACGUUAAGUCAGUUGGUGAAAAU